rnacentral:rRNA from 1 species
GGUUAAGUUAGAAAGGGCGCACGGUGGAUGCCUUGGCACUAGGAGCCGAAGAAGGACGGGACUAACACCGAUAUGCUUUGGGGAGCUGUACGUAAGCGUUGAUCCAGAGAUUUCCGAAUGGGGGAACCCACUAUCUUUAGUCGGAUAGUAUCCUUACGUGAAUACAUAGCGUGAGGAAGGCAGACCCAGGGAACUGAAACAUCUAAGUACCUGGAGGAAGAGAAAGAAAAAUCGAUUUCCUGAGUAGCGGCGAGCGAAACGGAAAGAGCCCAAACCAAGAAGCUUGCUUCUUGGGGUUGUAGGACACUCUAUACGGAGUUACAAAAGAAAGUUAUAAAUGAAGCGGUCUGGAAAGGCCCGCCAAAGACGGUAACAGCCCGGUAGUUGAAAUGGCUUUCCCUCCAGAGUGGAUCCUGAGUACGGCGGAACACGUGAAAUUCCGUCGGAAUCCGGGAGGACCAUCUCCCAAGGCUAAAUACUCCCUAGUGACCGAUAGUGAACCAGUACCGUGAGGGAAAGGUGAAAAGCACCCCGGAAGGGGAGUGAAACAGUUCCUGAAACCGUGUGCCUACAAGUAGUUAGAGCCCGUUAAUGGGUGAUAGCGUGCCUUUUGUAGAAUGAACCGGCGAGUUACGAUUUGUUGCAAGGUUAAGCGGAAAAAGCGGAGCCGUAGCGAAAGCGAGUCUGAAUAGGGCGCAUAAGUAACAGGUCGUAGACCCGAAACCAGGUGAUCUACCCAUGUCCAGGAUGAAGGUAAGGUAAUACUUACUGGAGGUCCGAACCCACGCACGUUGAAAAGUGCGGGGAUGAGGUGUGGGUAGCGGAGAAAUUCCAAUCGAACUUGGAGAUAGCUGGUUCUCUCCGAAAUAGCUUUAGGGCUAGCCUCGAGGUAAAGAGUCAUGGAGGUAGAGCACUGUUUGGACUAGGGGCCCUUCUCGGGUUACCGAAUUCAGAUAAACUCCGAAUGCCAUGUACUUAUACUCGGGAGUCAGACUGCGAGUGAUAAGAUCCGUAGUCGAAAGGGAAACAGCCCAGACCACCAGUUAAGGUCCCCAAAUAUAUGUUAAGUGGAAAAGGAUGUGGGGUUGCUUAGACAACCAGGAUGUUGGCUUAGAAGCAGCCACCAUUGAAAGAGUGCGUAAUAGCUCACUGGUCGAGUGACCCCGCGCCGAAAAUGUACCGGGGCUAAACAUAUUACCGAAACUGUGGAUGAACCUCUUCGGAGGUUCGUGGUAGGAGAGCGUUCUAAGGGCGGUGAAGUCAGACCGGAAGGACUGGUGGAGCGCUUAGAAGUGAGAAUGCCGGUAUGAGUAGCGAAAGAAGGGUGAGAAUCCCUUCCACCGAAUAUCUAAGGUUUCCUGAGGAAGGCUCGUCCGCUCAGGGUUAGUCGGGACCUAAGCCGAGGCCGAUAGGCGUAGGCGAUGGACAACAGGUAGAGAUUCCUGUACCAGUGCUAAUUGUUUAACCGAUGGGGUGACACAGAAGGAUAGGGAAUCGCACGAAUGGAAAUGUGCGUCCAAGCAGUGAGUGUGAGAAGUAGGCAAAUCCGCUUCUUGCGAAGCAUGAGCUGUGAUGGGGAAGGAAAUUAAGUACGGAAGUUCCUGAUUUCACGCU